AUGGAUAGGGGUUCUGAUAGGAAGGGCCCCCACAUUGGUACUGAGACACGGACCAAACUCCUACGGGAGGCAGCAGUGAGGAAUAUUGGUCAAUGGGCGUAAGCCUGAACCAGCCAAGUCGCGUGAGGGAUGAAGGUUCUAUGGAUCGUAAACCUCUUUUAUAAGGGAAUAAAGUGCGGGACGUGUCCCGUUUUGUAUGUACCUUAUGAAUAAGGAUCGGCUAACUCCGUGCCAGCAGCCGCGGUAAUACGGAGGAUCCGAGCGUUAUCCGGAUUUAUUGGGUUUAAAGGGUGCGUAGGCGGCCUUUUAAGUCAGCGGUGAAAGUCUGUGGCUCAACCAUAGAAUUGCCGUUGAAACUGGGGGGCUUGAGUAUGUUUGAGGCAGGCGGAAUGCGUGGUGUAGCGGUGAAAUGCAUAGAUAUCACGCAGAACCCCGAUUGCGAAGGCAGCCUGCCAAGCCAUUACUGACGCUGAUGCACGAAAGCGUGGGGAUCAAACAGGAUUAGAUACCCUGGUAGUCCACGCAGUAAACGAUGAUCACUAG
rnacentral:rRNA from 1 species